AUUGAACGCUGGCGGCAUGCUUUACACAUGCAAGUCGAACGGCAGCGCGGGCUUCGGCCUGGCGGCGAGUGGCGAACGGGUGAGUAAUGCAUCGGAACGUGCCCAGUAGUGGGGGAUAGCCCGGCGAAAGCCGGAUUAAUACCGCAUACGACCUGAGGGUGAAAGCGGGGGACCGAAAGGCCUCGCGCUAUUGGAGCGGCCGAUGUCGGAUUAGCUAGUUGGUGGGGUAAAGGCUUACCAAGGCGACGAUCCGUAGCUGGUCUGAGAGGACGACCAGCCACACUGGGACUGAGACACGGCCCAGACUCCUACGGGAGGCAGCAGUGGGGAAUUUUGGACAAUGGGGGCAACCCUGAUCCAGCCAUGCCGCGUGCGGGAAGAAGGCCUUCGGGCUGUAAACCGCUUUUGUUCGGGAAGAAAUCCUCUGGGCUAAUACCCCGGGGGGAUGACGGUACCGGAAGAAUAAGCACCGGCUAACUACGUG
rnacentral:rRNA from 1 species